AUUGAACGCUGGCGGCAGGCCUAACACAUGCCAGUCGAACGGUAGCACAGAGAGCUUGCUCUCGGGUGACGAGUGGCGGACGGGUGAGUAAUGUCUGGGAAACUGCCCGAUGGAGGGGGAUAACUACUGGAAACGGUAGCUAAUACCGCAUAAUGUCGCAAGACCAAAGAGGGGGACCUUCGGGCCUCUUGCCAUCGGAUGUGCCCAGAUGGGAUUAGCUUGUUGGUGAGGUAAUGGCUCACCAAGGCGACGAUCCCUAGCUGGUCUGAGAGGAUGACCAGCCACACUGGAACUGAGACACGGUCCAGACUCCUACGGGAGGCAGCAGUGGGGAAUAUUGCACAAUGGGCGCAAGCCUGAUGCAGCCAUGCCGCGUGUGUGAAGAAGGCCUUCGGGUUGUAAAGCACUUUCAGCGUGGAGGAAGGCAAUGCGGUUAAUAACCGUGUUGAUUGACGUUACCCGCAGAAGAAGCACCGGCUAACUCCGUG
rnacentral:rRNA from 1 species